CCUACGGGUGGCAGCAGUGGGGAAUUUUGCACAAUGGGCGAAAGCCUGAUGCAGCAACGCCGCGUGAAGGACGAAGGGUUUCGGCUCGUAAACUUCUAUCGACAGGGACGAAAGAAAUUACGGUACCUGGAUAAGAAGCUCCGGGUAACUACGUGCCAGCAGCCGCGGUAAUACGUAGGGGGCAAGCGUUAUCCGGAAUUACUGGGUGUAAAGGGUGAGUAGGCGGCAUGGUAAGCCAGAUGUGAAAGCCUUGGGCUUAACCCGAGGAAGGCUAGUGGAACUAUCAAGCUAGAGUACAGGAGAGGAAAGCAGAAUUCCUAGUGUAGCGGUGAAAUGCGUAGAUAUUAGGAAGAACACCAGUGGCGAAGGCGGCUUUCUGGACUGAAACUGACGCUGAGGCACGAAAGCGUGGGGAGCGAACAGGAUUAGAUACCCGAGUAGUC
rnacentral:rRNA from 1 species